GCCACCGCAGUGCCAACAGUGCACCAUGUGUCCACCUGGGUUCUUCCUGGUGUCUCAGUGUUCACCCAAUGCUGACAGGAUUUGCCAGGACAGAGAUGAAUGCCUGGAAAUCCCAACCGUGUGUGGAGAGAGAGUGAAAUGCCUCAAUACACCAGGUGGCUUCCGGUGCUUGGGCAUGUCCGAACGAGAGAUCUCUGCAGGCCUGUGUGGUCAUGAGUACUUCUACAAUCAGGAGCUACAGGA